UCCCAGUGAGUAGCCCAGUUGGCAGAGUACAAGACCCUUAAUCUCAAGGUCGUGGGUUCGAGCCCCAUAUCGGGCA